CACCUCUUCCGAGCCUCAGUCUGCCCUUCACAUUAUCUCUGUCUCCCCUCCCUGUCUGUCUCCCUCCCUCAACUUGGUCCCCAUCUCUGCAUCUCCACCUUUCCACCCCCAGGCUCCCACCGUACCUUUUCACCUCCUCUCUCUCUACCGGCAUCCAUCCUUCUCUCCUGGCCCUCCCUGCGUCUACCCCACUCUGGCCUCCUUGGUCCCUGGACCCUCCAAGUGCUUUCCUACCCUAAGUCCCUGCUCAUCCUGUUCCUGCCGUCUAAAAUGCCUUUCUCUAAAAUGCUUUCCCCCACCCCAGCGCCACUGUCCCCCGCCUGUGGCUGGCUCCAUGUCAUCCUUCAGGUCUGGGAGAGCCCUCCCUGACCGUCCCCCUCUGAGUUCCUUUGUGAUGCAUCCUCCGGCUGUGUCCUGUGGAGUGCUUCUGACAGUCAGUCUGAGAACCACAGGUUUGUGUAUGUGUUUUUGUUUGCUUGUUUACUCUAUGUUUCCUCUCGUUGGAUUGUGACACCAGGAGGUCAGAGAACUCCAGGACCUUGUUCUCUGCUGGAUUCGCAGCAACCAGCACAGCAUGUAGGGCACAGUUGGUGCUAGAGGGAUAUUUGUUGAAUGAAUGAAUGAUGAAUGGCUGGCACCUUGUCUGCUCAUCCCUAACUCCUGUUCCUUCAUCUGUGCAGCCCUAAUCUUUGUUUCCUCAUCUGUCCAUCCCUUUAUUUGUGCAUUCUCAUUCUUAGUCCCUUCACUGCCCUUCUCCGUCUCUUCCUCCUUGUUCAUUUGUCCCUAUUCUCUGUCCUCUACUCCGUUCACACCCAUCUCUGUCCCCUUGACGUACCCAGUCCCUGUUACUAUCUCCAUCCCUAAUUUCUGCCCUCUUGUCUGUCCACUCCUAAUUCCUUUUCCUUGUCCAUCCCUCUCUAGUACCUGUCACCUUGUCCUUCUUCCUCAAAUCUCCAUCCCUAAUCCAUCUGCCCCUAAUCUCUGUCCCCUUUGCCCAUCCUUCCUUUGCUCGGUGUCUCCUUCCACCCUUAUCUCCACACCUGCCCACCCUGCUCUCCCAUUCUGUUUCCCAUCUGCACCCUUGCCCCAUCCCUCCCACGCACAGGACCAGACGGCCACCAUGUCAGGAGACUACGAGGAUGACCUCUGCCGGCGGGCACUCGUCCUGGUCUCAGACCUCUGUGCACGGAUCCGAGAUGCUGACACCAGCAACAGGUGCCAGGAGUUCAGUGACCGAAUCCGAGGCUAUCCCCGGGGUCCAGAUGCAGACAUCUCCGUGAGCCUGCUGUCGGUCAUCGUGACAUUCUGUGGCAUUGUCCUUCUGGGUGUCUCUCUCUUCGUGUCCUGGAAGUUGUGCUGGGUGCCCUGGCGGGACAAGGGAGGCUCGGCAGUAGGUGGUGGCCCCCUGCGCAAAGACCUAGGCCCUGGUGUUGGGCUGGCAGGCCUGGUAGGCGGCGGCGGGCACCACCUUGGUGCUGGCCUGGGUGGCCAUCCUCUGCUGGGUGGCCCACACCACCAUGCCCACACCGCCCACCAUCCACCCUUUGCUGAGCUGCUGGAGCCAGGCAGCCUGGGGGGUUCUGACACCCCUGAGCCCUCCUACUUGGACAUGGACUCGUAUCCAGAGGCUGCAGCAGCUGCAGUGGCCGCUGGGGUCAAACCGAGCCAAACAUCCCCUGAGCUGCCCUCCGAGGGGGGAGCAGGCUCUGGGUUGCUCCUGCUGCCCCCCAGUGGUGGGGGCUUGCCCAGCGCCCAGUCACAUCAGCAGGUCACAAGCCUGGCACCCACCACCAGGUACCCAGCCCUGCCCCGACCCCUCACCCAGCAGACUCUGACCUCCCAGCCGGACCCCAACAGUGAGGAGCGGCCACCCGCCCUGCCCUUACCCCUGCCUGGCGGCGAGGAAAAAGCCAAACUCAUUGGGCAGAUUAAGCCCGAGCUGUACCAGGGGACUGGCCCUGGUGGCCGGCGGGGUGGGGGGGCCCCAGGCUCCGGAGAAGCAGGCACAGGGGCACCCUGUGGCCGCAUCAGCUUCGCCCUGCGGUACCUCUAUGGCUCAGACCAGCUGGUGGUGAGGAUCCUGCAGGCCCUGGACCUCCCUGCCAAGGAUUCCAACGGCUUCUCAGACCCCUACGUCAAGAUCUACCUGCUGCCUGACCGCAAGAAAAAAUUUCAGACCAAGGUGCACAGGAAGACCCUGAACCCCGUCUUCAAUGAGACGUUUCAAUUCUCGGUGCCCCUGGCCGAGCUGGCCCAACGCAAACUGCACUUCAGCGUCUAUGACUUUGACCGCUUCUCGCGGCACGACCUCAUCGGCCAGGUGGUGCUGGACAACCUCCUGGAGCUGGCCGAGCAGCCCCCUGACCGCCCGCUCUGGAGGGACAUCGUGGAGGGCGGCUCGGAAAAGGCAGAUCUUGGGGAGCUCAACUUCUCACUCUGCUACCUCCCCACGGCCGGGCGCCUCACCGUGACCAUCAUCAAAGCCUCUAACCUCAAAGCGAUGGACCUCACUGGCUUCUCAGACCCCUACGUGAAGGCCUCUCUGAUCAGCGAGGGGCGGCGUCUGAAGAAGCGGAAAACCUCCAUCAAGAAGAACACGCUGAACCCCACGUAUAAUGAAGCGCUGGUGUUCGACGUGGCCCCCGAGAGCGUGGAGAACGUGGGGCUCAGCAUCGCCGUGGUGGACUACGACUGCAUCGGGCACAACGAGGUGAUCGGCGUGUGCCGCGUGGGCCCCGACGCUGCCGACCCGCACGGCCGCGAGCACUGGGCGGAGAUGCUGGCCAACCCCCGCAAGCCCGUGGAGCACUGGCAUCAGCUAGUGGAGGAAAAGACUUUGACCAGCUUCACAAAAGGCAGCAAAGGACUAUCAGAGAAAGAGAACUCUGAGUGAGGGGUCUGGCCUAGGCCCGGGAUCGGACCAGGCUCCCUCAGGACCCCAUCCUUUCCUGCCCGGACCGUGAAUUCAUCUCCUUGAAGCCAUAACGUCCGAGCUGCUGGUGCAGGGCAGCCCUGGCCCUAGGCUUCCUACCCCUGGAAGCGAGAGGAUGGGAGGAGGCCGGCCCAGCUCCUUCUUUCAGGAACCCGGCUGUGUGGCUACCCCGAGUUGCAGAGCGGUCUGGCUAGUGAACAUCUGUCAUUUCCAGUCCCCAUGGUGGGGUGCGGACUUUGCCUAGAGGAAGCAUGGGGAGGGGAACUAUAGUUGGGUAGGAAAUUAACAGGAUCUGCUGCCAUUGCAAGAAAUUAACAAGACUUGUUGUAAUUGCCUUCAGAGAGAUAACUUCAGAGGAAACAAUGUGAGAAUCAGCUGUCUCUCAGCUGCUGUGUCAUUCAGGAACAGGAUUCUGAUUGGUCCAGCUCAGACCUUGGAGACACCCCGGGCCAAUCAUUGGGUCCAGUUUGGGCAGACUCUUGGGCCCGCCUCCUGCCUUUGCUGACUCCUCCUCUUCCUCUCCUGACCAUCUUGCCCGGGAUUGGUCCAAAGCCCUUCAGGACCUCACCCAUUUUGCUGGAGGGAUGAAUUAAUCUCCUGGAAGCCAGUAGGCCUGCACUGUAGCCUGGGCAGUGGCAUUGGUGAGGUUGCUUCCUUCUGAGGCUCUGAUGGAGAAUCUGGUUCCCACCUCCCACCUACCUCCUGGUGGCUGCUGGCGAUCCUUGGCCUUCCUUGGUUCAUGGAGGCAUCGCUCCAGUCUCUGCUUCUGUCUUUGCAUUGCCUCUUCCCCUGUGUGUCUCUGUGUCUCACAUCUCCCUCUGCCUUUCCCCUAUACGGACACCUGUCACUGGAUGUAAGAAACCACUCUAAAUCCAGGAUGAUGCCGUUUGGAGAUCCUUGAUUACGUCCCAGAGACCUUUCCUCUCAAUAAGGUCACACUCACAGGUUCCAGGGCACGGGACAUGGGUAUAUCUUUCGGGGGCCACCUUUCAACCCACUGUAACCGCCUUGAAAAACAGUCGAUCAGUUUCUUAUAAAAUGAACACAAACUUACCAUAUGACUCAGCAAUCCUGUUCCUAAGUAUUUACCAGUAAGAAAUAAAAACAUGUUCAUACAAGUAUUCACAACAGCUUUAUUCAUAAUAGUCCCGAUCUGGAAAAGCAGAAAUGACAUGACUGUUCAUCAGUGGGAGGGUGGAUGAUCAAACUGUGGUAUGCCCACAGGAUGGAAUACGUCUCGGCCAUAACACAAACCACCUGCCAACAGGCAUAGCACCAUGGAUAAAUCUCAAAAACAUGAUGUCACGUGAUAUAAGCCAGCCACAAGGGUACAUACUGUAGGAUUCCAGUUACAUGAAAUUGUAGAAAGAAAACACUAAUAUGGGCCGGGCAUCAUGGCUCAUGCCCGUAAUCCUAGCACUUUGGGAGGUCGAGGCAGGCGGA